rnacentral:other from 1 species
AAAUACCUGCUGUGUCCGUCAUCAAUCUGUUAUAUUAACCGUUGAUAAUAAUAAGGGAAUUUUGUCUCCGACUUCGGUUUGUAUGCCCCCUGUCUGCUUUUGCAGAUGGCUGUAGGGGAAACAGUAAUGUCGUCGGGCGAGUACCCACCUGCGAGAGCAGGUUAUUAUAAAGAUUGUAACGGCACAAGUGGGUAUAUU